rnacentral:tRNA from 1 species
GGAAGAUUGUCCGAGCUGGCCGAAGGAGCACGCCUGGAAAGUGUGUAGACGCCUACAAGCGUCUCGAGGGUUCGAAUCCCUCAUCUUCCG